UAAAACCAUGUGGAGGACCGAACAGGUGAACGUUGAAAAGUUCUCUGAUGAGCUGAGGGUAGGAGUGAAAGGCUAAUCAAACCCCGUGAUAGCUGGUUCUCUUCGAAAUGCAUUUAGGUGCAGCGUCACGUGCUGAUGCGCGGGGGUAGAGCACUGACAAGGCUAGGGGGCACACCCGCUUACCAAACCUUAUCAAACUCCGAAUACCGUGCAAUGGAACGUGGCAGUGAGACAGUGGGGGAUAAGCUUCAUUGUCGAGAGGGAAACAACCCAGACCAGCAGCUAAGGUGCCUAAAUAACGCUGAGUGGAAAGGAUGUGGGAUUACACAGACAGUGAGGAUGUUGGCUUAGAAGCAGCCACCAUUUAAAAAAUGCGUAAUAGCUUACUCAUCGAGUGAUCCUGCGCCGAAAAUGAUUGGCGAUCAAGCGUUAUACCGAAGCUCUGGACUUUGCCGCAAGGCAGAGUGGUAGAAGAGCGUUGCAUGCGCAUUGAAGGGUGAUGGCGACUGACCCUGGAGCGCAUGCAAGUGAGUAUGCAGACAUGAGUAACGUAAAGCCGGGUGAAAUCCCCGGCCGCCGUAAACCCGAGGUUUCCAGGGCAACGUGUUUCGUCCCUGGGUUAGCCGGGACCUAAGCCGAGGCCGAGAGGCGUAGGCGAUGGAUAUCAGGUUAAUAAUCCUGAGCUCGCGACCCUUAAACUGGGGGGACGCAUGAGAAGAGAUGACCAGGUUAUUGAAUUCCGAGCUGGGUCCACGGACCCAGCGCAUCAUCAAAUCGAGUGCCAAGAAAAGCCCCAGCGUAUGCUAAGCGACCCGUACCGCAAACCGACACAGGUGGGUGGGUAGAAUAUACCAAGGCGUAAGAGUGAAACCUGGUUAAGGAACUCGGCAAAUUAGCCCCGUAACUUCGGAAGAAGGGGUGCCUGCAGCGAUGCAGGCCGCAGAGAAAUGGCCCAACCGACUGUUUAUCAAAAACACAGCACUCUGCAAAGACGCAAGUCGAAGUAUAGGGUGUGACACGUGACCAAUGCCGAAAGAUUAAGGCAAGGGGUUAGCCGCAAGGCGAAGCUCUGAACCCAAGUCCCGGUGAAUGUCGGCCGUAACUAUAACGGUCCUAAGGUAGCGAAAUUCCUUGUCGGGUAAGUUCCGACCUGCACGAAUCGUGAAACGAGUUGGGCACUGUCUCAACCAGGCGCUCAGUGAAAUUGUAGUGGCGGUGAAGAUGCCGCCUACCCGCAGAAGGACGGAAAGACCCUAUAGACCUUAACUGUAAGCUGUCAUUGUUUCUUCGGUUUUAAUGCUCAGAGUAAGUGGGAGACGCUGAAGAUGCCCUUUAGGGGGCAUCCGAGUCAUCAAUGAGACACCACCCUUUGAAACUGGAGGAUCUAACCCUGAGCCGUGAAUCCGGCCAGAGGACCGUGU
rnacentral:rRNA from 1 species